AUUGAACGCUGGCGGCAGGCCUAACACAUGCAAGUCGAGCGGAAACGAGUUAUCUGAACCUUCGGGGAACGAUAACGGCGUCGAGCGGCGGACGGGUGAGUAAUGCCUAGGAAAUUGCCCUGAUGUGGGGGAUAACCAUUGGAAACGAUGGCUAAUACCGCAUGAUGCCUACGGGCCAAAGAGGGGGACCUUCGGGCCUCUCGCGUCAGGAUAUGCCUAGGUGGAAUUAGCUAGUUGGUGAGGUAAGGGCUCACCAAGGCGACGAUCCCUAGCUGGUCUGAGAGGAUGAUCAGCCACACUGGAACUGAGACACGGUCCAGACUCCUACGGGAGGCAGCAGUGGGGAAUAUUGCACAAUGGGCGCAAGCCUGAUGCAGCCAUGCCGCGUGUGUGAAGAAGGCCUUCGGGUUGUAAAGCACUUUCAGUCGUGAGGAAGGUAGUGUAGUUAAUAGCUGCAUUAUUUGACGUUAGCGACAGAAGAAGCACCGGCUAACUCCGUGCCAGCAGCCGCGGUAAUACGGAGGGUGCGAGCGUUAAUCGGAAUUACUGGGCGUAAAGCGCAUGCAGGUGGUUUGUUAAGUCAGAUGUGAAAGCCCGGGGCUCAACCUCGGAAUAGCAUUUGAAACUGGCAGACUAGAGUACUGUAGAGGGGGGUAGAAUUUCAGGUGUAGCGGUGAAAUGCGUAGAGAUCUGAAGGAAUACCGGUGGCGAAGGCGGCCCCCUGGACAGAUACUGACACUCAGAUGCGAAAGCGUGGGGAGCAAACAGGAUUAGAUACCCUGGUAGUCCACGCCGUAAACGAUGUCUACUUGGAGGUUGUGGCCUUGAGCCGUGGCUUUCGGAGCUAACGCGUUAAGUAGACCGCCUGGGGAGUACGGUCGCAAGAUUAAAACUCAAAUGAAUUGACGGGGGCCCGCACAAGCGGUGGAGCAUGUGGUUUAAUUCGAUGCAACGCGAAGAACCUUACCUACUCUCGACAUCCAGAGAACUUUCCAGAGAUGGAUUGGUGCCUUCGGGAACUCUGAGACAGGUGCUGCAUGGCUGUCGUCAGCUCGUGUUGUGAAAUGUUGGGUUAAGUCCCGCAACGAGCGCAACCCUUAUCCUUGUUUGCCAGCGAGUAAUGUCGGGAACUCCAGGGAGACUGCCGGUGAUAAACCGGAGGAAGGUGGGGACGACGUCAAGUCAUCAUGGCCCUUACGAGUAGGGCUACACACGUGCUACAAUGGCGCAUACAGAGGGCGGCCAACUUGCGAAAGUGAGCGAAUCCCAAAAAGUGCGUCGUAGUCCGGAUUGGAGUCUGCAACUCGACUCCAUGAAGUCGGAAUCGCUAGUAAUCGUGGAUCAGAAUGCCACGGUGAAUACGUUCCCGGGCCU
rnacentral:rRNA from 1 species